rnacentral:rRNA from 1 species
CAGUCGCCGCGGUAAUACGUAGGGUGCAAGCGUUAAUCGGAAUUACUGGGCGUAAAGCGUGCGCAGGCGGUUUGUUAAGACAGAUGUGAAAUCCCCGGGCUCAACCUGGGAACUGCAUUUGUGACUGGCAAGCUAGAGUGUGGCAGAGGGGGGUGGAAUUCCGCGUGUAGCAGUGAAAUGCGUAGAUAUGCGGGGGAACACCGAUGGCGAAGGCAGCCCCCUGGGCCAACACUGACGCUCAUGCACGAAAGCGUGGGGAGCAAACAGGAUUAGAUACCCCAGUAGUCCCUGUCUCUUAUAC